ACGGAGGGGGCUAGCGUUGUUCGGAAUUACUGGGCGUAAAGCGCACGUAGGCGGCUUUGUAAGUUAGAGGUGAAAGCCCGGGGCUCAACUCCGGAAUUGCCUUUAAGACUGCAUCGCUAGAAUUGUGGAGAGGUAAGUGGAAUUCCGAGUGUAGAGGUGAAAUUCGUAGAUAUUCGGAAGAACACCAGUGGCGAAGGCGACUUACUGGACACAUAUUGACGCUGAGGUGCGAAAGCGUGGGGAGCAAACAGGA
rnacentral:rRNA from 1 species